GUGGGUAUAGCUCAGUCAUAUAGCACAUGCUUAGUGUGCAUGAGGUCCUGGGUUCAGUCCCCAGUACCUCCA
rnacentral:tRNA from 1 species